CUGCCAGUGAAGAGGAUAUUGACCGUUCCCAUCGACUGACAAAUACUGACUGGUGCAAAUGUGGCAACUGUGUGAUUAUGCCCACAGUGGAUGAAUGCAAGUGCUGCACAGAAACGCACCUUGUUGAUCAGGAAGUCGAGUCAGCUGGGCUGCAAUGUAUAACCUUACAUGAAGGCUUUCAGGGAAACUGCCUCAACCAGUAUGUCCUCAAGGCAUCUUUUGUUGAAUUUUUGGAGGGACAUGGUCCUCUUGGAAAUGAUGAACCAGUAAACGAGAUUUACAGGUACAUUGCAUAUAGAAGAAUGAUCGGAUGGAUUUGGGGACGCAUUGGAAAAGGAAAUAGGAAAGUUCUUCCAUCCUGUGCAGUAAAUAAAAUAAGAGAGACCUGGGAGUCAGCAGACUACACUGGUUUUAAAUACCCAACUGUGUGAACCUCGACUUCCUAGUUGCCACAACUGUUGGAAAGUUCUCAAAUGGGUGUUCAUGGAUGUCUACAAUGUGGUUCAUCACCGACUUCCACUUGGCCACAACCAGCUCAGCAUUUACAUCA